UUAUAGUCCUGAGAGUUGAACACUGGAUGACUGACAGCUGUCCUUCAUCACAACAGAAGCCACAGAAAUCCUCCUCAUCAAAAACAUGACUUUGAUCUGCGUCCUCAUCUGGACUCUCCUCUGCUGCUGCUUCACAGAGUCCAGAGGACAGAUCACAGUGACUCAGCCUGGAGCAGUGAGCUCUGCUGUGGGAACAACUGUGAGCAUCAAGUGUAAAGUCAGUGAGGAUGUUUAUGGCUCUAGCUUGUUAGCCUGGUACCAACAGAAAGAUGGAGGAGUUCCUAAACUGCUCAUUUAUGAUGCUGACACUCUAGAAUCAGGGAUUCCAGCUCGUUUUACAGGCAGUGGAUCAAACUCUGACUUCACUCUGACCAUCAGUGGAGUCCAGGCUGAAGAUGCAGCAGUUUAUUACUGUCAGAGUUAUCACUACAUCAACAGUCAGCUUGUGUUCACACAGUGAAAAACAGUCGUAC